UUUGAAGAGGGUUGUUUUGGAGUGAGGGUCGGUUAGAGGUUUGGAGAGGUUGUUUGUGGAGUGAAGGUCGGUUAGAGGUUUGGAGAGGUUGUUUGUGGAGUGAGGGUCGUGAAAGAGAGUGUUUAUGAACCCGUUUUGUUUGGUUGGUUGUCGAGCGAAGUUCAGAAGGUUGUUUGUCUGCUUAGUUGGUUGUAAAGGGACAGGAGGGUCGUUCCUUGUGUCGAGAUAGAGGACUUUUCUGAUAAGUUGCGAGGCCGUUUGGUGGUUUAGUUGUUUGUGGAGUGAAAAGAACGCGUUUGUUUGUGGACCGACGAUGAGAGGUCGUCCCUAGUAUGAAGAGGAGAUAGGUCAUUCUUGGUGUGAAGAUAUGGCAAUAGGAAUGAUAAGUUAUCAUCAUUACUUUUUAGUAUUGAUAUCAUUAGUUGGCUCUUAAUGAUGUUUAUAUCAAUGUUGAUGAUAAGUUGUUUUAUGGAAUGAAGAGAAAUGUUUUUGGAGUGAGGAAGAAAAGAAGGGUCUUUAUUAAUUGUGGAGUUGAAAAGUGUUUAUGAGAAAUUUGUGAAGUGAGAGUGAAUUGUUCUAGCCAGUGCAAGUUGAAGUUAGAAUCAAAAUGUUUCUGUAAAGAUUUGUGAAGUGAAGAGUAGUCGUUUUUGUAGAUAUUUUUUGAAAGCCAUAAGACGUAAAAAAAAAAAAAAAGAAAAAAAAAACAGAAACAGGGUAAAAUAUAUUGAAAUGAGACAGUGUGGGUUACAAAGACACCCAUAUUCUUUCCUUGCAAAAAAAAUUUCCUUCGUGUGUUGUAAAAUUAGUUGGAAGAUUUUUUUAUUGUGUCUUCCGUCUCAGUUUUCUAGUAUGCCGUUCAAAUAUGCACAAUAUUGCAGUUGAGAACUAGUCAAUAGAACUUUUUUUUGUAAAAUUACCUGUUGUCAGUUAUUUUACUCCAAAAGACAUGGUAUAUCUACAGUUUUUUUAAGUAUAGAUAUUCUGAUGUACAGUCACGACCAAAAAGGAUUUGUCAAACAUUCCAAAAUUCCUUCUUGAUGAUUCACAACUUUUGGCCGUGACUGUACACUGAGGAAAUCUUAAUUUUUUUUGUUCAUCUUUGUAAUCUCUAGUAGUAUUUACAUAAUGCUAUUCUCUGACAUGGAAAAUCUUGAGAAUCUGUAGAUCUUUCUGUCUCGUCUUGACUAAUUAAAGCAUAGUCAAAGAGGAAGCAGAAAAUAAUGUCUAUUCCUGUCUGUUCCUGUCCAUUCCAACUUAAUGCUUCUAUUCCCGUGUUAUUUUCCCAGUCCAUUCCGAUUCGAAGAUCAAUUAAUAUUCACUUGAUUAAGAUUCAAUGGAAGAUUCGUUGAUAUUCACUUAAUUAAGUGUUUUUUUUUUUUCUUUUUUUAAUACUUGUUAAUCCUAACUCGGUGAUUUUUAUAGAGCAAUUGUGGCCAAAAAUGUCUAGCUUUUUGUCGCCUCAAGAAAUAAAUAAUAAAAAAUAAAUGGAUGUGUAAAUGAAUACGUUUAUAAAAUAGGAAAAAGAAAGAUAGAAAUCGAAAAUAAGGAAUAGAUAGAUAACGAAGAUAACGAAAAUAGACAAAUGAACAAAAACGAGACAUUUUUGAAAACAAGUUGUUCGCCAAAAUAAGCCAUUUGAUCUCCUGUAAAUCCUGCGUGAGCAUACUAUAUAUAUAUAUAAUGUAGAUAUGUAACUAUUGAUUUAUCUUUAAUAUAGAUAGAGUUUCUGUAUUUUUUAUGUGUAAUAUAUAUACCAUUCGUGAUUUCUUUUUUUAUACACAACCUCCCUCGGUUAGGUUCAUGUCAGCUGUCUUUCAAUUUUGUGAUUUUAGCUUCGGAAUAUCAAAGUAUUUUUGUAGUUGUGUGUAAUCAUAUUUUUUACUGGUAAUGUGACAGAGAUGUAAUUAAUUAAUGUGAUUGUUUUAUAUAGUUUAUCGAUAAAUGAAGAUAAAAAUUA